rnacentral:rRNA from 1 species
UAGUACGGCGAGUGAGCGGCAAGAGCUCAAAUUUGAAAGCUGGCUCCUUCGGGGUCCGCAUUGUAAUUUGCAGAGGAUGCUUCGGGAACGGCCCCCAUCUAAGUGCCCUGGAACGGGCCGUCAUAGAGGGUGAGAAUCCCGUCUGGGAUGGGGUGUCCGCGCCCGUGUGAAGCUCCUUCGACGAGUCGAGUUGUUUGGGAAUGCAGCUCUAAUUGGGUGGUAAAUUUCAUCUAAAGCUAAAUAUUGGCCGGAGACCGAUAGCGCACAAGUAGAGUGAUCGAAAGAUGAAAAGCACUUUGAAAAGAGAGUUAAACAGCACGUGAAAUUGUUGAAAGGGAAGCGCUUGCGACCAGACUCGCCCGCGGGGUUCAGCCGGCAUUCGUGCCGGUGUACU